AAUAGUAAUAAUAAUACCACAAUCACAAUCACAAAACUCAUCAACCUUGUACCUUUGGUAUUUUUAGACACACUGAACUCCUAUAAUGGCAAGAAUUGGACCCUCUGUCAGAACCACGGAACUCAUUCCACCAGCUGAGAGGAAUAUGGGCUGUUAAGGGCUCGCAGCUGUGUCUCUUUCCAGGGAUUGCCGUCAAUCAAAGGAGCUGCCUUGCCAAGGUACAACCCUCCCUUAGGAGAGAG
rnacentral:lncRNA from 1 species